CCUUCGAUAGCUCAGUUGGUAGAGCGGAGGACUGUAGAGGUGUACUCAGAGAUCCUUAGGUCGCUGGUUCGAAUCCGGCUCGAAGGA
rnacentral:tRNA from 1 species